UAAAGUUGUUGCAGUUCCAAAGCUCGUAGUUGGAUUUCGGAAGGUCCUUAGCAGUCCGCCCCUUCGGGGAGCGGGCUGCUGGCCUCCUAUGAUCCUAACGGUCCUCAUCCGCGAGGGUGGGGAAUCAACCGCUAGGAUCGUUUACUUCGAGGAAGCUAGAGUGUUCAAAGCAGGCGUAACUCGCCUCCGAAUACGUUAGCAUGGGAUAAUGGAAUACGACUUCGGUCUUGUUUCGUUGGCUUCGCUUGGCUGAAGUAAUGAUUGAUAGGGACAGUUGGGGGCAUUAGUAUAUAGCUGUCAGAGGUGUAAUUCUAGGAUUUACUAAAGACUGACCAAUGCGAAAGCAUUUGCCAAGGAUGUUUUCAUUUAUCAAGAACGAAAGUAGGGGGAUCGAAGACGAUCAGAUACCGUCGUAGUCUCUACCGUAAACUAUGUCGACCAGGCAUCCGGAGAGUUUGCAUGGAUGACUCCCCGGGCACCUUGUGAGGAAUCAUAAGUGUGUGGGACUUGGGGGGAGUAUGGUCGCAAGGCUGAAACUUAAAGGAAUUGACGGAAGGGCACCACCAGGAGUGGAACCUGCGGCUUGAGGUGACUCAACACGGGGAAACUUACGAGGUCAGGACACUGUGAGGAUUGACAGAUUGAAAGCUCUUUCUUGAUUCAGUGGGUGGUGGUGCAUGGCCGUUCUUAGUUGGUGGAGUGAUUUGUCUGGUUAAUUCCGUUAACGAACG
rnacentral:rRNA from 1 species